UACGUAGGGUGCGAGCGUUAAUCGGAAUUACUGGGCGUAAAGCGUGCGCAGGCGGUUUUGUAAGCCAGAUGUGAAAUCCCCGGGCUCAACCUGGGAACUGCAUUUGUGACUGCAUGGCUGGAGUGCGGCAGAGGGGGAUGGAAUUCCGCGUGUAGCAGUGAAAUGCGUAGAUAUGCGGAGGAACACCGAUGGCGAAGGCAAUCCCCUGGGCCUGCACUGACGCUCAUGCACGAAAGCGUGGGGAGCAAACAGG
rnacentral:rRNA from 1 species